GAGUCUGUAGUUUAAUGGAUAGAAUACCAGGUUUCGACCCUGGCGAUGGGGGUUCGAUUCCCUCUGGACUCG
rnacentral:tRNA from 1 species